GAAAAACAGAAGCAAGUUUCCAGGAAAAAGAUGAACUCAUUAUGGACAUGCUGAGGUUCAGAAAAGCACUGAGCUCCACACUGUUCUAAUCGAACAGGUUUCUAAUCUCAUCAUUAUGGCCUGAGGAACUAAGUGAUAAGGUUUCCAAAAUUGCUUCACAGACAACUUUCACUUUGACCAUUGGGCAAGCUCUACUUGAUAUACCCUUGGAUCACUUCAGCUAUUCAGAUCCUUUUGCGAUUUCACAUGAACUUUGGGAUAAGAAAAGAUGGAAAGGAAGAGGAACAACAUCCAGAGAGAUAAAAACUGGGAAUUUCACAGAACAGAUACAAACAUCAACUCACAGAUUCAAGAAGCCCUGCAAUCACAGCAGGAUUAAAUAUGAAGAUAAUCACACUAAGGAAACUCACAGUAAAAAGUAAGUUAGGUGGAAGAAAACUGUCUCUUGCAGAACAGUAAUUGCUUGCCUCCUAGAGAUUAUGAGGGAGCCAGGAUAGACUAGGCAGAGACUACCAGGUCAAAUGCCCACAAAAGUCAUUACCUCUGGGACAAAGACCUACAUCUUCACAUGCAAAGAGGCUAAUCUGUGGAUAAAUGGAGACAAUGGAAUAUAUCCAGGAUCACACUAGUCACUGAACUCUACUAACCACAGAG